AUACGUAGGGGGGCAAGCGUUGUCCGGAUUUACUGGGUGUAAAGGGCACGCAGGCGGGAUAAAUAGUCAGUGGUGAAAUCCUACAGCUUAACUGUAGAACUGCCUUUGAUACUUUUAUUCUUGAGUUCGGGAGAGAGAGACGGAAUUCCAGGUGUAGUGGUGAAAUACGUAGAUAUCUGGAAGAACACCAGUUGCGAAGGCGGUCUCUUGGUCCGAUACUGACGCUGAGGCGCGAAAGCGUGGGGAGC
rnacentral:rRNA from 1 species